CUCGAUUACGAGAACGCGUUCUUGUAUUAAAUGGAGUGUUAAAGAAGCCGAGAUAACAGUUGUUCACCAGAAGUUAUUGUGCCAUUUGCUGGAUUAUCGCAACUUCUACGGCUCAGCAACUGUUUCAUUGAACCCCGUCCAUUCUUGACACAUGAUUUCGUUAACAGUUUUCGCAAGUUCAUGGUCCGCUGAAUGGAUAUAAAGUGUUACAGGGUUCCACGUUUAGGAAUUUCGCGUGAAAUUCCACUUUUGGAUACUGGUCCGACUUGUAUUAACACGUUCACACCGACCAUGUAAUUCACGCUUUUUUCCAUCUGGCGGCGAAGUUCUUAAAAUUGGACAACCCGCAUUCCGACUUUCCUUCAUCAAGCCGCGACGAAUGUGAAGCCGACAAACCGAUCAUCAACAUGACUCGACCAAAUAUUCUACAAUUCACGUACAACAAUAAAGAAACUCCUCCAGUAAUCAACAAACGAGUUGAUUAAUUUUUACAGCGGCUAUGGUUUUUCGAAACGAAAUGGAAUGUAUCCGCGUUCAAUGUUCAACAUUUGUAUGCGGACAUCACGUAAGCCAUGAGUUGUAAGUUAUAAUAAUCGAUUCCUUACUUAGGACGAGUGUCUUAUUUGAUCGAUCGUCGGUGGAAAGAAAACACGUCUCGAUCACUUACUAUAAUUACGUUAUUAAAAGUUUCCGGUCAUUUUCUAACACACGUUAGUUGAUUCAUUUUCUAUCGCGUCACGGCAUUUCGAAGAUUGCAGUCGUGAAGUGCAACCCAAUGAGCUUCUGAUAUUCGCAAAAAGGACUAUAAUUUCGUUGUUUCUAGAACAAACACGUGGUGCACGGUUGUCGUUAUGAAAUCUGGUCGUCAUUUUCAGGCGCGACGCGGAACUUUCAGCUACGUGGUGGUUCACCAGAAAUUACUUGACGAUGUAGCUUUUAGUCAGCUCAAUUAUGUGGCGUACGAUUCGAUGAUUACCAAUUUGUGGAUUGUUAUAUUGGCAGUUGAAAAGUGUGUAUACCGGCGAUCAAAUUGUUGCGACACAACUUCUGCUACCGUGGUCUGAAAAGAUAAAGGGAAAAGAAAGAUAGUUUUCCGUGUUAAGACGCGAAAACGGGAAAUCCCUUAAACAUUUUAUUGUUCGAAAUCUCAGGUCAGCUGGUUACCAAAUGUUCAGAUAACUGGAGUAUUUGAGUCGACAGCGCAUCAAGGACCAUUGUCGCAGGUAGUUUCGGGGAGUGUGUUGACUGUCUCACUAUCAGCUUUUUUAAACGUAUGAACUCUACAGGUAUAGGACGAAAUGCUGCCAGACGAAAUGAUAAAAGUCUACGAAACACGUAGCUAUUUAAGAAAUAGAAUUCUAAGACCACGUGUACGUAACGCUCGGAAUGUAGCGUCGCCAAGUCAACACUGUUUCCGUUGAUCUACAUAUAUUUGAAGUAUUUAAUCAAUAUUUAGAUAUUUCUCUGUACUUCGGUUAUGUAAUAAGUUUCCUUAUAGAAAUGAAUUAAAUCGAUGAUACUUCAAAUA